UACGUAGGGUGCAAGCGUUAAUCGGAAUACUGGGCGUAAAGCGUGCGCAGGCGGUUUUGUAAGUCUGUCGUGAAAUCCCCGGGCUCAACCUGGGAAUUGCGAUGGAGACUGCAAGGCUAGAAUCUGGCAGAGGGGGGUAGAAUUCCACGUGUAGCAGUGAAAUGCGUAGAGAUGUGGAGGAACACCGAUGGCGAAGGGCAGCCCCCUGGGUCAAGAUUGACGCUCAUGCAC
rnacentral:rRNA from 1 species